CUACGGGUGGCUCCAGUGAGGAAUAUUGGACAAUGGGCGCAAGCCUGAUCCAGCCAUGCCGCGUGAGUGAUGAAGGCCCUAGGGUUGUAAAGCUCUUUCAGUGGGGAAGAUAAUGACGGUACCCACAGAAGAAGCCCCGGCUAACUUCGUGCCAGCAGCCGCGGUAAUACGAAGGGGGCUAGCGUUGUUCGGAAUUACUGGGCGUAAAGCGCGCGUAGGCGGAUUGUUAAGUUGGGGGUGAAAUCCCGAGGCUCAACCUCGGAACUGCCUUCAAUACUGGCAAUCUUGAGUCCGGAAGAGGUGAGUGGAACUCCUAGUGUAGAGGUGAAAUUCGUAGAUAUUAGGAAGAACACCAGUGGCGAAGGCGGCUCACUGGUCCGGUACUGACGCUGAGGUGCGAAAGCGUGGGGAGCAAACAGGAUUAGAUACCCGGGUAGUC
rnacentral:rRNA from 1 species